rnacentral:rRNA from 1 species
UACAGAGGUCCCAAGCGUUGUUCGGAUUCACUGGGCGUAAAGGGUGCGUAGGCGGUUGGGUAAGUCUGACGUGAAAUCUCCGGGCCUAACCCGGAAACUGCGUUGGAUACUAUCCGGCUAGAGGAAUGGAGGGGAGACUGGAAUACUUGGUGUAGUAGUGAAAUGCGUAGAUAUCAAGUGGAACACCAGUGGCGAAGGCGAGUCUCUGGACAUUUCCUGACGCUGAGGCACGAAAGCCAGGGGAGCAAACGGG